rnacentral:rRNA from 1 species
GAACGCUGGCGGCGUGCUAAUACAUGCAAGUCGAACGAGAGCGACCGGUGCUUGCACUGGUCAAACUAGUGGCGAACGGGUGAGUAACACGUGGGUAACCUGCCCAUCAGAGGGGGAUAACAUUCGGAAACGGAUGCUAAAACCGCAUAGCUUCUUGAGUCGCAUGACCCGAGAAGGAAAAGAGGCUUCGGCUUCUGCUGAUGGAUGGACCCGCGGUGCAUUAGCUAGUUGGUGAGGUAACGGCUCACCAAGGCCGUGAUGCAUAGCCGACCUGAGAGGGUGAUCGGCCACAUUGGGACUGAGACACGGCCCAAACUCCUACGGGAGGCAGCAGUAGGGAAUCUUCCGCAAUGGACGCAAGUCUGACGGAGCAACGCCGCGUGAGUGAAGAAGGAUUUCGGUUCGUAAAACUCUGUUGUUAGAGAAGAACAGCGCAUAGAGUAACUGUUAUGCGUGUGACGGUAUCUAACCAGAAAGCCACGGCUAACUACGUGCCAGCAGCCGCGGUAAUACGUAGGUGGCAAGCGUUGUCCGGAUUUAUUGGGCGUAAAGCGAGCGCAGGCGGUCAAUUAAGUCUGAUGUGAAAGCCCCCGGCUCAACCGGGGAGGGUCAUUGGAAACUGGUUGACUUGAGUGCAGAAGAGGAGAGUGGAAUUCCAUGUGUAGCGGUGAAAUGCGUAGAUAUAUGGAGGAACACCAGUGGCGAAGGCGACUCUCUGGUCUGUAACUGACGCUGAGGCUCGAAAGCGUGGGUAGCAAACAGGAUUAGAUACCCUGGUAGUCCACGCCGUAAACGAUGAGUGCUAAGUGUUGGAGGGUUUCCGCCCUUCAGUGCUGCAGUUAACGCAUUAAGCACUCCGCCUGGGGAGUA